rnacentral:rRNA from 1 species
UACGUAGGGUCCGAGCGUUGUCCGGAAUUAUUGGGCGUAAAGGGCUCGUAGGCGGUUUGUCGCGUCGGGAGUGAAAACUCGGGGCUCAACCCUGAGCGUGCUUCCGAUGCGGGCAGACUAGAGGUAUGCAGGGGAGAACGGAAUUCCUGGUGUAGCGGUGGAAUGCGCAGAUAUCAGGAGGAACACCGGUGGCGAAGGCGGUUCUCUGGGCAUGACCUGACGCUGAGGAGCGAAAGCAUGGGGAGCGAACAG